ACUUCCCGAGCAGCCUGUUUGAUAACCCCUCAGCA
rnacentral:sRNA from 1 species